rnacentral:lncRNA from 1 species
CUUCAUUCUUGAAGGGUGUUUUUGCUGGAUGUAGAAUUAUGGAUUGAUAUUUCUUUUCCUUUAGUAUUUUUAAGAUGUUCCAUUGUUUUCUGACCUCCACUGUUUCUGAUGAGAAUUUUGCAGUCCUUGAAUCCUUGUUUCCUUGUAGGCAGUGUACCUUUUUUUCCUCUGGCUGCAUUAGAAAUGUUUUAAGUUGGCUUUCCAGGCUUUCGAUUAUAAUGUUUCUGGUGUUUCUUUUGAGUUUAUAUUGAUUCUGGUGUGCUGUGCUUCUUGAGUCUGUAAAUAUAUGUCUUUUUCCAAAUAUGGGAAGUUUUUGGUUAUUAUUUUUUGCAAUUUUUUUUCUACAGUAGUCUCUUCUUCUCCUUCUUUGAGGACUCUAAUAACAUGAACAUUGGACCUUUUGGUAUUGUCCUGCAGGUCCCCAGAGACCCUGUUUUUUUUUCCAAUCAUUUUUAUAAUUUUUUUAUUUUUACAGUUUCUGUUUCUCUGUUGAGAACUUCUAUUUAUCCAUUCAUUUCAGGUGUUUGCCAUUACCUCAUGGAGCUUAGAUGUCAUAACUACUUAAAUGUCUUUGAUAUUUCCAGCACCUAGGUUAUUUCAGGAUUGGCAUCUGUUAUUGUCUUUUUCCCUGGAGAAUUGGUCACAUCUUUGUGAUUGGUUUUUAUGUUGAAUAAUUUUGGAUUCCAUCCUGGAUAGUGGUGGACUGUGUCGUUAUUGCUUUUCUUUUUUCUUUUUCUUUUUUUUUUUUUGAGACAGAGUUUCACUCUGUUGCCCAGGCUGGAGUGCAGUGGCACAAUCUCAGCUCACUGCAAUCUGUAACCUCUGCCUCCCAGGUUCAAGCAAUUCUCCUGCCUCAGUCUCCCGAGUAGCUAAGAUUACAGGUGCCUGCCACCAUGCCCGGCUAAUUUUUUGUGUUUUUAGUAGAGACGGGUUUCGCCAUGUUGGCCAGGCUGGUCUCGAACUCCUGACCUCAGGUAAUCCGCCCGCCUCAGCCUCCCAAAGUGCUGGGAUUAUAGGCGAGAGCCACCACGCUCAGUGAGUAUGACAUUUUUAAAAGAACAGUAUAAAGCAUAAAAUAUCCCAUGUGGGGCAAACUCCCAGAUUAUUUUCCUAAACAAAUAGAAAAAAUGCUUCCUGAAAUAGGGUAAGAGAGGAUGAGUCAUCAGGAUCCCUGAAACAAAGAUCUCAAACAGGAGACCUUACGUAUAUUAUUCAUCAAUAUCUUCAGUGCAAAAAUGCAAAGCCAUUACAGAAAGGGCACAUAGUAAGCUUUUACAUACUUUCCUUAGGAACAGUGCUUAGAACUUAAAAUUCUCCAUGUUUUAAUAAAGAGUAAUAAUUUUAUGGUGAAGCAAUAUAAGAUUUAAAAUUUUCAGAGUAUCUUCCAUAACAGCAGUAUUAUUUAAAGUAGUGAAAAAAUAAGACAAUUUAAUAUCCAAUGAUAGAUGAUUAAAAAUUGGUAUGUCAGGUGAAAUAACAUGCACCAAUUAAGACUACUGGCAAAUUUGGGAAAAUGUUCGUGGUAAAUCAUUAGGUAAAAAAUAUUAUAAAACAAUAACCAUAUGAUUAAUAUUGUACAAACAGGAAGUAUAUGAACCAUUAUAUCAGUGAUUCUGGGUGGUUGACAUAUAAAAAUUUUGUGAUGAGUAAAGUUAUAUGCACAUAUAAGUAUAAAUUUGUAUUUAUUUAAGUAUAAAUUUGUAUUCACCUAUUUCAUAGGUGAGUGUGUGUGUAUAGAUAAACACAUGGAACAAAAAGUUAGGUAUAUCUGUGUAGUGUGGAGGGAAAAAGCUAGGAAAGAAAUACACCAAAUUAUUAAGUAAAUUGGCAUUUGAAUGUGGGGAUUAUUGAUGUGUAAAAAUUUUUUUGAUUGUAGUCUCCAGAAAUCACC